rnacentral:lncRNA from 1 species
CGGGGUCGCGCACCUGCAAGAAAAGUCCUCACUGACUGGAGAUGCCUCCGGCGGGAACCCUCCGACGGUUAAGUCAAAGAGGAGACUAGGCAACAAUGGAACUCAGCGAGAGGGAGAGAGCUAGAGAGCUCAAGAGCUUAAAGGCGCUUCAGAGAGCUUGAAGAGGCUUGCUCCAAACUUACCAAAAUUGUUGCCUUACCCCAUUUUAUAGUAAAAUGCGGUAUGGUCCC